CAGGUGGGUUGGUAGAGUAUACCAAGGGGCGCGAGAUAACUCUCUCUAAGGAACUCGGCAAAAUGACCCCGUAACUUCGGGAGAAGGGGUGCCAAGUAACUUAAAUUGCUUGGUCGCAGUGACCAGGCCCUGGCGACUGUUUAUCAAAAACACAGGUCUCCGCAAAGUCGUAAGACAACAUAUGGGGGCUGACGCCUGCCCAGUGCCGGAAGGUUAAAGAAGUUGGUUAUUCAUUUUUGGAGAAGCUGACGACUGAAGCCCCGGUGAACGGCGGCCGUAACUAUAACGGUCCUAAGGUAGCGAAAUUCCUUGUCGGGUAAGUUCCGACCCGCACGAAAGGCGUAACGAUCAGGGCACUGUCUCGGAGAGAGACUCGGUGAAAUAGACAUGUCUGUGAAGAUGCGGACUACCUGCACCUGGACAGAAAGACCCUAUGAAGCUUGACUGUAGCUUGGAAUUGGGUUCGGGCUCUUCUUGCGCAGCCUAGGUGGGAGGCGUUGAAAGCUUUCUUUUGGGAAAGCUGGAGCCAUCAGUGAGAGACCACUCUGGAGGAGCUAGAAUUCUAAUGGCGUUCCUUGAAGCAGGACGCUUGACAGUUUCAGGUGGGCAGUUUGACUGGGGCGGUCACCUCCUAAAAGGUAACGGAGGUGUGCAAAGGUUCCCUCAGGCUGGACGGAAAUCAGCCGUAGAGUGUAAAGGCAGAAGGGAGCUUGACUGCAAGACCUACAAGUCGAGCAGGGGCGAAAGCCGGCCUUAGUGAUCCGACGGUUCCAUGUGGAAGGGCCGUCGCUCAACGGAUAAAAGUUACUCUAGGAUAACAGGCUGAUCUUCCCCAAGAGUUCACAUCGACGGGAAGGUUUGGCACCUCGAUGUCGGCUCAUCGCAACCUGGGGCGGUAGUACGUCCCAAGGGUUGGGCUGUUCGCCCAUGAAAGCGGUACGUGAGCUGGGUUCAGAACGUCGUGAGACAGUUCGGUCCAUAUCCGGUGUAGGCGCUAGAGCAUUGAGAGGAGCCUUCCAUAGUACGAGAGGACCUGGAAGGACGCACCUCUGGUAUACCAGUUAUCAUGCCAAUGGUACACGCUGGGUAGCCAUGUGCGGAGUGGAUAACCGCUGAAAGCAUCUAAGUGGGAAGCCCACCUCAAGAUGAGUGCUCUCCAUUAGGUCACAGGAAGACAACCUGUUUGAUAGGCAGAAGGUGUAAGGCCAGUAAUGGUUUCAGCUGAUCUGUACUAAUAGACCGAUUGA
rnacentral:rRNA from 1 species